UGGGGAAUUUUGGGACAAUGGGCGAAAGCCUGAUCCAGCAAUGCCGCGUGUGUGAAGAAGGCCUUCGGGUUGUAAAGCACUUUUGUCCGGAAAGAAAUCCUCUGGGUUAAUACCUCGGGGGGAUGACGGUACCGGAAGAAUAAGCACCGGCUAACUACGUGCCAGCAGCCGCGGUAAUACGUAGGGUGCAAGCGUUAAUCGGAAUUACUGGGCGUAAAGCGUGCGCAGGCGGUUUUGUAAGACGGAUGUGAAAUCCCCGGGCUUAACCUGGGAACUGCAUUCGUGACUGCAAGGCUAGAGUAUGGCAGAGGGGGGUAGAAUUCCACGUNUGAGCAGUGAAAUGCGUAGAGAUGUGGAGGAAUACCGAUGGCGAAGGCAGCCCCCUGGGCAAUACUGACGCUCAUGCACGAAAGCGUGGGGAGCAACAGGAUU
rnacentral:rRNA from 1 species